AUUCUGUGUAUGAGUUAAAUAUUAGUUUUUGAAUAUUUCAUCUUUGACAAACUCUUAAAUUUCUGGAAAACCUUGACACUAUUAAUAUGGUUUUUCUUUGGGAAAAUACCUUUAAAGUUUUAAAGGAUUUAAAGUUUUCCCUUUCCUGUGAAAUUUGCUAUGAGCUGGCUGUAGAACCUGUUACUAACAUGCAGUGCAGUCAUCAUUUUUGUAGAGCUUGUAUUUACGAGGAAAUAGCUAAAAGAAGUAGAUGUCCUGUUUGCGAUAUCCCUACUUGGAAAAAAGACUUGAAGUCAAACACUCUACUACAAUCUUUAAUAACCGCAGAAAAAGAAUUUUAUGCUUCUUUAAAUGGCUUAUAAUUUUAUAAUGUUAUUAUGAUAAACUCUAUUAUU